rnacentral:lncRNA from 1 species
AUGCAAUACUGACAUAAUCUCAAAUACCACUAAGCAGCUGGGACACAUUUUUGUUGACCAUACUCGCAGGUAAAAUAAGUAGAUCAUGUGGACAGCUCCAGCUCAUUUUCCUUAAAUCAGUGUGUACAAGGGGUAUGCAAAAAUAUUUUUUUUUUCUCACGCACCGAUUAUUUUGCUGUAUAAGCAAGAGAACCCACCACGUUAGUGUAACGUAUCUUGUACAUCACACUAAUAUGUGCUUUAAUUUACCAAGUGAGAUGAGUUACUUUUAUGGCCCAUUCAGUCAUAUCACACUGCAAGCUUCAUUCAUCAAUCUUCAAUUGGAUUUUGCAAAUGUUUAAUGAAACAUGUUUCCCUUUUAUGCAGAUAUGCAAUGGCAAGCCCUUCCGUGUGUUCCAAAGACAAUGCCUACGCCUAGCCACAGCAGCUCCCUCAUACAGACUCCGCAAGCCAAGAGGCCGUGGAGGCAAAUGCAGGCAGCCAGCACACCUCGAACAGCCACCUUGACUGCGGGUGUGUCACCCUAGUCGCCUGAGGGAAAGCGACAGGCAAUGUGAACAGCCACUUCUCCAUGUAAACGAUAAUCUUUCUCUCGGAUGACUCCUACGCCUCGCCACGCCAGCACACUUGUGCACAAAGAUGCCGUGGAGGCACGUGCAGGUCAAAGGCAAGAAGCAAUGGCACUGGUGUCGACAUUCAUCCAAUUUGUUUUUCUUACACUGAGGCAGCCAGCACACCUCGAACAGCCACCUUGACUGCGGGUGUGUCAGUAGAUUCCUGUUGUACAUAUGCUCAUAAUAAACUUCAGUAAACUUGAACUUGAUAAUAAACUUGAAGGCAAAUGGGA